UUAACUCGAAUUUGUAUGGAGAGCGUUUGCGUACGUUUGCCGCUAGGGGCGCUGUUCCAACUGCAUACAAACUUGAGUUA
rnacentral:pre_miRNA from 1 species